AUCGGUUCCUGCCUCCAAGUUCCUGCUCUGGCUUCCCUCUGUGAAAUCAGCUGGGGCUGAAGAAUCAGCUGAGACAAGAAGAGAUCAGCAUCCCUGAGACAUCUAUGGAAAAGUGCAUCCUCCUGAUCAGCACUCAGAUGCUGUGGUCCAGAGGCGGCCGAGGCUGUACCUCAUGCUGGCAUCUGAACUUGGUAAUGUGUGAGCUUCCCAGGCAGUACUGGAUUUGAAGACAAGAGGGUCAUGGGACGCAGCUGAGACUGGGCGCUGGGCGCUGGGCGAGGCCGGGAGAGGCCACUGUGAUGGUGCAGCCCCAGUGGCUGCAGAGAGCCCGGUACUGAAGGGAGCCUGGAGAGCGCCUUCGGCUGGCAUUAUCCGGCAGGGUUAGUCCCUGAAGAGUGCCUGGCAGAGACUACUGAAAUGCCAUCCCAGUUGCAAUGGGGACCCAAGCAUUUUGGAGAUGCCAAUCCCAUGGGAUGACCAGCAAUGGCAGCAGCUGCUGUGGAGUGGAGCUGACCUCAGUCUGUGAGAGGAGCUAUGUGAGCAUCAGACCCCAAGAGGGGAGUUCCACGGCCCUCUGGAACCUGGAUCAAGAGUCUCAGACCUCCAGCACUGAGCUUCACGCUGUUGGUCUGUGGUUUUGCUUUGGUUUGAAUGUGACCCAGUUCUUCCCUCUUGGAGUAAGACAUCAACUUGAAACAAGCUAGAGUCAUCGGGAAGAGGAACAUCAAUUGAGGAAAAUCCUUCGUUAGAUUGUCCUGUGGGUAGAUCUGUGGGCAUCUGCUUGGAUUGAUGGUUGAUGUGGGAGGAGCCAGUAUAGCCACUGUUGGGUGUACCAUUCUCUGGGCGGUGGUCCUGGCUUGUAUAAGAAAGCAAGCUGAACAAGCCGUGAAUAAGCCAGCAAGCAGUGUUCCUCUAUGGCCUCUGCUUUAGAUCCUGCCUUGACUUCCCUCAAUGAUAAGCUAAAAUGUAAAGUGAAAUAAACCCAGGUUUACUCCCCAGGUUGCUUUUAGUCAUGGUUUUCUUAAGCACAGUAAUAGAAACCCAGUUACAAGCAUUCAUUAGCUGCCUAUUGUGGGUGUUGGAGCCUGAACUCAGGUUUCCUGGUUGAGCACCAAGUGUUCUUAACCACUGAGCUACCUAUCCAGUCCCCGUGUUUUUUGUUUUUCUUUUGAGACAAGGUCUCACAUAGCACAGGCUAGCUUAGAACUCUUUUAUAUAGUGGAGGAUGACCUCGAACUCCUCAUUUCCCAAGUACUGGGAUUAUAAGUGUAUGCAACACAGUUGGUUUAUGUGGUCCUGGGGACCAAACCAAAGGUCUCAUGCAUUCUAGGUUAGCACACUACUUACUUGGUUACAUUCCCAGCCUUGGUUUCAUUUAUUUUAUUUACUUGUUUGUUUACUUAAGAUAGUAUCUAAGUAUAUCGCCCAGGCUGACCUCAAGCUUGGCUUCUGCUUCAACCUUCAAAGUGCUGGGAUUAUGGGCAAGUGCAUCCCUCCUCCUCCUCCUCCUCCUCUCUCUCCUCCUCUUUCCUUUUUACCCUCCCCAUGGGUAUAUGCAUCCCUCUUUCUCCUUCCUCCUCUCUCCUGUCUCUUAGCCUGAACCCAGGGCUUCACACAUACUAAGGAUAUGUUCCCGCACUGAGCCUGUGUUUCUUAUUUCUGAGUACUCUUUACAUAUGAAUGAAUAGAAGGGCUGCAUGAACUAUAUUCAACGUCUCAUUCCUUUCUCUGUAUUUUCUCAUUCAUCUCUCAGUCUGGUGAGCUGGGUGCUUCUCCUCUCUGUCUUAUGGGAGAGGGGACUGGAAUACACAGUCUUCUAACCAUGUACCCACACCCCUUUCCUAACGAUGCACCCAUGGCAAUGUAGCUCUGCCGGUAAAGCGCUUGCUGCCAAGGCUGAAGACCUGAGUUCAAGCCCCAAGGUCCACAUGGCAGAAGGAGAAAACUGAUUCCUGAAAAUCGUUCUCUGGCCUUCAUAUAUGCCUUGUGGCACAUGUGUGCCCCGCUAAAUGGAUAAAUGAUAUAAUUUAAAAACAAGCACACAAAAGCAAUAGUUUUCCAUUCCCUGAUGACCAUCAGAGUUUCUAUUCAAAUGAAUUUCUCAGUGUAUCUGGGUGUGAGGUGAGGAGGUCAGUCCAGCCUGGGCCGCUUAUGGUUCACAUUCAGUAAGGUGGACUGUGGCCUCAAGUGAAUUUUCAGGGAGAGUCCCCUAUUUACCAUCUUAUACAUAUUAUAUGUGCAUAUGUAUACAUAAUAGAGUGUGUGCUAGAGUGAAAUCAGAGGCCUCAUGGGAAAGGGAAUACACAAUAGAGCCAAGUUCCUUUAGCCCAAUCUUGUCAAUCAAAACAAGGACCCACCAGUGCUGAGCCCCUUAGCAAUCAAACCCCUUCCUCUUAGUCCCAGGAAAGGAAGCUCUGAACACUAACAACAAUGGGGCCCAAGAUUAUCCUCACUCCUGUGGCCCUCAGUCACUCUUUUUGUUCAAUUAAUUUUUUUUAAUUUUGUUUUAAGUGUAAGGGUAUUUUGCAUGUAUGCAUGUAUGUUGUGAAAUAUUAC